GGUCAAGUGAAGAAGCGCAUACGGUGGAUGCCUUGGCAGUCAGAGGCGAUGAAAGACGUGGUAGCCUGCGAAAAGCUUCGGGGAGUCGGCAAACAGACUUUGAUCCGGAGAUCUCUGAAUGGGGGAACCCACCUAGGAUAACCUAGGUAUCUUGUACUGAAUCCAUAGGUGCAAGAGGCGAACCAGGGGAACUGAAACAUCUAAGUACCCUGAGGAAAAGAAAUCAACCGAGAUUCCCUUAGUAGUGGCGAGCGAACGGGGAUUAGCCCUUAAGCUUCAUUGAUUUUAGCGGAACGCUCUGGAAAGUGCGGCCAUAGUGGGUGAUAGCCCCGUACGCGAAAGGAUCUUUGAAGUGAAAUCGAGUAGGACGGAGCACGAGAAACUUUGUCUGAACAUGGGGGGACCAUCCUCCAAGGCUAAAUACUACUGACUGACCGAUAGUGAACCAGUACCGUGAGGGAAAGGCGAAAAGAACCCCGGAGAGGGGAGUGAAAUAGAACCUGAAACCGUAUGCGUACAAGCAGUGGGAGCCUACUUGUUAGGUGACUGCGUACCUUUUGUAUAAUGGGUCAGCGACUUAUAUUCAGUGGCAAGCUUAACCGUAUAGGGUAGGCGUAGCGAAAGCGAGUCUUA
rnacentral:rRNA from 1 species